rnacentral:rRNA from 1 species
UACGGGGGGAGCAAGCGUUGUUCGGAUUUACUGGGCGUAAAGGGCGCGUAGGCGGCCACUGCAAGUCGGUUGUGAAAUCUCCGGGCUUAACCCGGAAAGGUCAAUCGAUACUGCAGGGCUAGAGUGCAGAAGGGGCAACUGGAAUUCUCGGUGUAGCGGUGAAAUGCGUUGAUAUCAUUAGGAACUCCGGUGGCGAAGGCGGCUCGCUGGAUCUCUUCUGACGCUGAGGCGCGAAAGCUAGGGGAGCAAACGGG